UACGUAGGGGGCGAGCGUUGUCCGGAUUUAUUGGGCGUAAAGAGCUCGUAGGCGGCUUGGCAAGUCGAGUGUGAAACCUCCAGGCUCAACCUGGAGACGCCACUCGAUACUGCCAUGGCUAGAGUCCGGUAGGGGACCACGGAAUUCCUGGUGUAGCGGUGAAAUGCGCAGAUAUCAGGAGGAACACCGGUGGCGAAGGCGGUGGUCUGGGCCGGCACUGACGCUGAGGAGCGAAAGCGUGGGGAGCAAACAGG
rnacentral:rRNA from 1 species